rnacentral:lncRNA from 1 species
CAUAUAUAUUUAUGUAUGGUCGUCAUAGGUUGUCUAAACCAAGAGACAUUAUAAGCUGGAAUGAUACGUAAGAAGAAAGCAAAUGUCACAAAUCAUGUGGGUCUUACAAAAGUAAAUUCCAUUUCUAACUGAAAACCGUUGUUUAAAUACGUUGACCAGGUCAAAGAUGUUAUUUGACCAACUGUCGCUUCUUUGCGUCCACGUCUUAGAGCACCCCCAUUGAGGGUUCAUGGGGGGAGUUCACACAAAAACCAAGAAAAAAAAAUAAUAAAAUAAUUCAAUCUCAUGA